rnacentral:lncRNA from 1 species
GGUCAGGCUGCUGCUCUUGCUGCAGUCAUGAGCUGCAGGUCUGGUUCCUUUUGACAGUUACCUGAGGUUACCUGUCCCCAGCAGCCUCAGUCUGCAGGGAAAUCCUCAACAGUGAGAAUUCAGAGGACUGGGGAAGAGCCUGACCCCCAAAGCUGCACCAAGCCUCAUUAGAAAGGAUGGGAUGGGAUAGGAUAGGAAUACAAUAGAAAGAGUAGCCUGUUUCAGUUGGAAGGAACCUACAACACUCAUCUAGUCCAACUGCCAACUGUAUCCUUUUAAUUGAGGACAUCCCAGUACCAUGUUGUCCCAACAACAUAUGACAGAACCAAAGGUUCAGAAGCCACUUUCCUUUUACUUUUUUCAAGAAAUCUCUGUCUCAGUAACACACAUAAACUGCUGAAUUGUCAGUGUGGUGUUUCAGUCCUGUGGCCAGUGUCUGUCCUUUCCCUGAACAAGGAAGGCAAUAGUUAAUCUGCAGUAACAUCCAUCUCUGUCCACAGGAAACUCUGCUAUUCCUGACUGUGGGGGAUGAAAAAGAAGCAGGACUCUUCCUUUUAGCUGGACCUGUUGAAGCAGUUGAGAAUUUAGGUCCCAGGUAACGUGUUUUGUGGUUUGUUUAAAAUGAAUUCUGACGUUGCAGACUGAGCAGCUGCACAGUGUAAUCCGGGCACAGAUCCAUGUUUGCUGUCAGGAGCAGGUUGGGCUGCAGCCUGUGGUGUUGUUGCUGCAGGGUGGCAGAGCUGCUGGGAGGGAAAGGAGCUGGAAAGCGUGACCGCUUCCAGGGCAAGGCAGCCAAGAUGAGCCGUCGGGGAGAAGUGGAAGCUCUGCUCCAGGAAUUCAUCAGCCAUCGAAGCCCUGAAGUCCCGGGCAGGCCCUGAAGCUGCUGCAGUCUCAGCUGGAGGAACUAAAUGGUGCUGUGGAGCCACAGUGGGGCACAACAGGUAAUUUGGGGGGGGGGGUUUCCCUCCUUUUUGCUAGAAGUGACAUGACAGGUUCACUUUAGAUGUUGGUAAUAAACAGAGAAAUAGAAUAAAAGAAACCUCCA